GAAGCAUGCUGGGAACUGUAGUUUGCUAAGGGCGCAGGAAGCUGUAGGUCGGCGAGGUCAGCUCCCUUAGCAAACUACAGUUCCCAGGAUUCUUC